GUAAUCGCAGAUCAGAAUGCUGCGGUGAAUGCGUUCCCGGGUCUUGUACACACCGCCCGUCACACCACGGAAGUUGGGGCGCCCGAAGCCACUUAGCUAACCCUUUUGGGAAGCGAGUGUCGAAGGUGAAAUCAAUAACUGGGGUGAAGUCGUAACAAGGUACC
rnacentral:rRNA from 1 species